rnacentral:lncRNA from 1 species
UGGGACAUCGCUGCCUCCACAGACAGGGAGAAGAUCCGCGCUGUGGGAGGCAAGGACGGCUGCUCGGGCAGAGUGGAGAUCUGGCACCGCGGCACCUGGGGGACGCUGUGUGACAAUGCCUGGGACAUGCGGGAUGCCGAGGUGGCGUGCAGGCAGCUGGGCUGUGGCCCCGCGCUCUAUGCCCUGGGCCAGGCUGCUGCUGGAGAGGGGACAGGCCCCAUGUGGCUGAUGGAGUGCAGGGGGACGGAGCUGUCUCUGCAGGACUGCUGGGAUCAGCCAGGGGACAGCGGUGCCUGCCAGCAUAAGGCAGAUGCGGCUGUGCAUUGCUCAGCUGCACUCAAGAUAGCAACUCCCCCACCACAAGCUGGUAAGCUGUCCUUCCCCUGGGGCUGGGUCUGUCCAUGUUCACGCUGUGACACACAGCCAGGGGAAGGGGCUCCUUGUUGGGCUGUGAGACUCCCAGGAAAUCAAGGGAGCUGGGGGAAGUCUGUGAUGGACCCAGCAGGGUGGGAGCUGCCCCAUCACCCAGCCCUGUCCCCCCCUCCAGCCCCUGCUGCCUUGUGUGGUCAGGAGUGCCGUGUCCCACCCCCAACCUCUCCCUUGUCUGAUGCUGCCCCUGCCAUGUUCCUGCCCUUGCAGAUCCCCCACGGGGCCGUCCAACCACCAGCAGUGAGAGACUCUCGGUGCCUGUCGUCAUCUGCAUCAUCCUGGGGGCCCUCCUCUGCCUGCUCCUGGCCCUCCUGGCUGGGCAGGUGCGAAGCGCCAGGGCUCGGCGCAGAGGUGGGUCUUUCCCCAGUGGUCCUGGGGGGGGGGGAGAUGCCUCCUGGCAGGGCUAGGUGUGUUGAUGUCCUGGGGCACAGAAACAGAGCCGUGUGCUGCCUCCUGCCCCAUGUGCUGCCCCACUGACUGACAGACCAUGGGGCACCAACAUCAAGGGGUAGAGAGAGCCCAGAGCCUGAGGCAUCAGUUCUGGGGUGAGAAGAGAAAUGUGAGAGCUGGGCUGGGUGAGACGGGGAGGAUGCACUGCUGGCAGUGCUCUGGGCAGCUCUGGCAGGAGGAGCAUAGGGCAGUGGAGUCCAUCACUGUGGUGUCAGCCACCCCGCAACAGGGUACAGGCUGUGUUAUUGCUCUGUGGGGCAGAGAUGGAGCAGCUCCAUGGGGAGGGGAAAUGAGGGAAUUAGUGCAGGGUCUGCACUAGGACAUGAACCGGGGACCAAAGGGGCACAAGGGCUGUCUCCAAAUGCGAGACUGACUCUGCCCCAGACCAUCUCCAUGGGAAUGCUGCCCUCCCUGGGGAUGUGGCCUCAGUGCCAACACAACACAGAGGGGCUGUGCUGUGGGGACAGCCCUGUGCUGGCCUAGGGAAUGGGGCUGGGGGAGCCCAUUGGGGUCCUGUCCCUCUCUGCCCAUCACCAGACCAGCCCUGCCUCUGUCCCCAGGCUCCGGGAGAGCUGGGGAGCCCUUCUCUGAGGCCGUGUAUGAGGAGAUCGCUUACAGCCUGGCGUGGGAGAAGCAGGCGAGGUUCAGUCUCUCAGGUGGGUUUAUGUUCCUGAAGGGGCACUUUCUCUCUGCCUCAGAUCAGGGCUGUGCCCUGCAGCUCCUGCCCAUGGUCCCUGAAAUGGUUGGGCCAUG